rnacentral:tRNA from 1 species
GCCCGGCUGGCGCAAUCGGUAGCGCGCAAGACUUCUAUUCUCCUUCGAGAGCGCAAUCUUGAGGCUGUGGGUUCGAGUCCCACGUUGGGCU